CUGUGCCUGACAAGCACGGGUGCUGGGCGCUCACACCCAUCAGUUCACCCAGGCUCCAGGGAACCAGACAGAAGUGACCUUUCUGAGCACAGAACUGCGGAUGCCAAGUGACUGGGAAGAGAUUCUUCCUGGUUGGCUAGUACGUCCGGUGUGUGUUUUGGGGAGAACAGGGAGAAGAACAGUUGUGUAACGGAUGAUUUGGAGCAACUAAAGGGGAAAAAAGCAUCCAUUCAGUCAAGUGACAAGUAAACAAAUGAGAAGGCGGAAAGCCACGGCCCAUUGAACACAGCUCAGAAUUCAGGUCUACCCUGUCUGUCUUUGCACUGUGCCUCCAGAAAGCAACUUUUUUUCUUUUUUAAAUGUAUAACACAUUAUUCUCAAAAGUCAAAGGACCUCUUAAUCAUUUCGGCUAAAAGAAAUACACGCCACACAGCACAUGUGAAGGAACAUCUCAGCCGCGUGGGUGUCGGAACUAGCUCUGGAAUCAUCCGGUAGAAAGUUUUAGAAAAUCCCUGCUGGCGUCUAAACAGAACAGCUCCUACUUCUUUGUGUGUUCUCACUCGUGUAUUGGCAUCGAUUGCUGUAUCCGCUUUGUUU